UAUGUUCAAGAAAUCAAAUAAUAGGAUCAUAGUGAUACAAAAUAAUAAAUUCAUAGUUAAACAAGACACAAAUAUACCAAUCUUACUCACAUAGAGUCCAGUAAAACAAUAUCAUAAAUUUCCUUAAGCCACAAAACAUUAUAAAGUCAUAUCACACAAUGCAUCGUAAGUUCACAUCUUAAAUCUAGUCUAAAUGUUUCAUAUCAAUUAUAGGACAUGGAAGGAUGCUCAUAGACAUUGCCUAAGUUUGCAAGGACAUGUAUGCUCAUAGACAUUACCCAACUUUGCUCUGUAGAUGGUAGCACAUUAAGGUGCUGCCUUUCAAGUGUACACAUAAACAUAUAAUUUAAACUAUUCUAAACACCAAAGUAAGCAGAAUUCACCAUGACUAAUUAACACUUAUAUUACCUACUAAAUAAGAUAACAAUUUAGCAUUGCAAAACAAGAUGCUUGUGUGUCAAUCCUGCAAAAGAUCCUCUGUGGUUUCUAGGACAGCUCUUGCUCGCAGUACAUGUCAGGGACAUCACUAUGUUCUAGUGUCUCACGUGCUUCCUCUUCCUCCCUAAGUUGUUCAAGCCCAGAGAGCAAAGUCAUAGUCCAUAGAAGGAUCAAAAUAGACACAAUCAUCUUCACUUGAUAGACCCACAGUCUCGAUAGCCAUCUUCUCAGAUAUUAUAAGCCCAUCGUUGUUAAUCUCCCUCUCCCCACAAACCAUUUCCUCAAAAUCUGUUUCACGCCCGUGGUACAUUCCAAAAGAUGGAUGCACAAUCUUAUUUCCUUUGCAUUCAUAAUAAAAGCACCUACUUGGUCCAUGAGAAGAAUGAAAACUGCUCGGCAGCAAGGCAGAAAAAAAAAAGAAAGGCUAAAAAAUUGUCAUUUUACUCAGCAGCGAGCCAAAAAGGCAAACAAAUUGUCAUUUUAACCAUUCCACCAAAUUGAAUUUCAAGGGCAUGCAUAGAAAAUCUUUAGUGUAAUACGUAAAUAACAAGGACUACACACAUGCAUGACAGACCACAUUCUUUUAUGUGUCCAGUUACUCUAGGGGGGAUAAGUGGGCUUGUGAGCACAAGGAUUAUAUGAGAUUUUUCUGCUUACCUCAAAAGUCGUCCAUGCCAACACCAAAUACAUGUGUUUUUUUAAAGAACUGGGUAGGAGAGAUGCCGAUUAUAUUAAAAGGAUGAGCCCAAACUGGGUAAAAACAACCAAAUACAAUAGAGAGACAAGACCUCACC
rnacentral:lncRNA from 1 species